CGCGUAGGCGGGUUCCAUAGUCGGGGGUGAAAUCUUUCGGCCCAACCGGAAAAGGGCCUCCGAUACUGGGAACCUCGAGUGGGGUAGGGGUCGAUGGAACUUCCGGUGGAGCGGUGAAAUGCGUAGAUAUCGGAAGGAACGCCGGUGGCGAAAGCGAUCGACUGGACCUCUUCUGACGCUGAGGCGCGAAAGCCAGGGGAGCGAACG
rnacentral:rRNA from 1 species